UACGUAGGGUGCGAGCGUUGUCCGGAAUUAUUGGGCGUAAAGAGCUCGUAGGCGGUGUGUCACGUCGUUCGUGAAAACCUGCAGCUUAACUGUGGGCGUGCGGUCGAUACGGGCAUCACUGGAGUUCGGCAGGGGAGACUGGAAUUCCUGGUGUAGCGGUGAAAUGCGCAGAUAUCAGGAGGAACACCGGUGGCGAAGGCGGGUCUCUGGGCCGAUACUGACGCUGGAGGAGCGAAAGCGUGGGAGCAAACAGG
rnacentral:rRNA from 1 species